rnacentral:rRNA from 1 species
CACGAACUGCGCGAACGUUAUUCGGAAUCACUGGGCUUAAAGAGUUCGUAGGCGGCCAUAUAAGUGAGGUGUGAAAGCCCUCGGCUCAACCGAGGAAUUGCGCUUCAUACUGUAUGGCUAGAGGGAGUCAGAGGUGAGCGGAACUUACGGUGGAGCGGUGAAAUGCGUUGAUAUCGUAAGGAACACCGGUGGCGAAAGCGGCUCACUGGGGCUUUUCUGACGCUGAGGAACGAAAGCUAGGGGAGCAAACGGG